AGAGAAGAGGUUGGAAUUACUAAACCUUAGAAACUUAGAGGAGAGACCCCAUCGAGCUGAAACUCGGACGUCUGAGGAGCUGGUGUCUGGACUGGGGAGGCUGCGCCUCAGAAGGCGCGCUUUACCAUCUCGGGAAUAAUUGCAAAUUGGAGCCAGCUGCCGCUAGCGCCCCCUGUUGGCAGAUCGGAGUGACAGCUCCUCACAGCGGACACAGAUUCCGAAGGUGGGGGCGUCCUGGUUGUGAUCAGGAUUGAAUGGAUUUGCCCGUGUGUUCAGAACAGUGUCCAGCACACGGGAAAUGCUCCAUUAAGAUCUCGCUGCUAACGCUACGCACGCCAGCCCUUACCACAGUCCUGUGAGAUUUUCCCAUGGAACCCAAGAGAGAG
rnacentral:lncRNA from 1 species